rnacentral:rRNA from 1 species
GGCGGACGGGUGAGUAAUGCUUAGGAAUCUGCCUAUUAGUGGGGGACAACAUUUCGAAAGGAAUGCUAAUACCGCAUACGUCCUACGGGAGAAAGCAGGGGAUCUUCGGACCUUGCGCUAAUAGAUGAGCCUAAGUCGGAUUAGCUAGUUGGUGGGGUAAAGGCCUACCAAGGCGACGAUCUGUAGCGGGUCUGAGAGGAUGAUCCGCCACACUGGGACUGAGACACGGCCCAGACUCCUACGGGAGGCAGCAGUGGGGAAUAUUGGACAAUGGGCGCAAGCCUGAUCCAGCCAUGCCGCGUGUGUGAAGAAGGCCUUAUGGUUGUAAAGCACUUUAAGCGAGGAGGAGGCUACUUUAGUUAAUACCUAGAGAUAGUGGACGUUACUCGCAGAAUAAGCACCGGCUAACUCUGUGCCAGCAGCCGCGGUAAUACAGAGGGUGCAAGCGUUAAUCGGAUUUACUGGGCGUAAAGCGCGCGUAGGCGGCUAAUUAAGUCAAAUGUGAAAUCCCCGAGCUUAACUUGGGAAUUGCAUUCGAUACUGGUUAGCUAGAGUGUGGGAGAGGAUGGUAGAAUUCCAGGUGUAGCGGUGAAAUGCGUAGAGAUCUGGAGGAAUACCGAUGGCGAAGGCAGCCAUCUGGCCUAACACUGACGCUGAGGUGCGAAAGCAUGGGGAGCAAACAGGAUUAGAUACCCUGGUAGUCCAUGCCGUAAACGAUGUCUACUAGCCGUUGGGGCCUUUGAGGCUUUAGUGGCGCAGCUAACGCGAUAAGUAGACCGCCUGGGGAGUACGGUCGCAAGACUAAAACUCAAAUGAAUUGACGGGGGCCCGCACAAGCGGUGGAGCAUGUGGUUUAAUUCGAUGCAACGCGAAGAACCUUACCUGGCCUUGACAUAGUAAGAACUUUCCAGAGAUGGAUUGGUGCCUUCGGGAACUUACAUACAGGUGCUGCAUGGCUGUCGUCAGCUCGUGUCGUGAGAUGUUGGGUUAAGUCCCGCAACGAGCGCAACCCUUUUCCUUAUUUGCCAGCGAGUAAUGUCGGGAACUUUAAGGAUACUGCCAGUGACAAACUGGAGGAAGGCGGGGACGACGUCAAGUCAUCAUGGCCCUUACGGCCAGGGCUACACACGUGCUACAAUGGUCGGUACAAAGGGUUGCUACCUAGCGAUAGGAUGCUAAUCUCAAAAAGCCGAUCGUAGUCCGGAUUGGAGUCUGCAACUCGACUCCAUGAAGUCGGAAUCGCUAGUAAUCG